GUCGGAAUCCGGGAGGACCAUCUCCCAAGGCUAAAUACUCCCUAGUGACCGAUAGUGAACCAGUACCGUGAGGGAAAGGUGAAAAGCACCCCGGAAGGGGAGUGAAACAGUUCCUGAAACCGUGUGCCUACAAGUAGUUAGAGCCCGUUAAUGGGUGAUAGCGUGCCUUUUGUAGAAUGAACCGGCGAGUUACGAUUUGUUGCAAGGUUAAGCGGAAAAAGCGGAGCCGUAGCGAAAGCGAGUCUGAAUAGGGCGCAUAAGUAACAGGUCGUAGACCCGAAACCAGGUGAUCUACCCAUGUCCAGGAUGAAGGUAAGGUAAUACUUACUGGAGGUCCGAACCCACGCACGUUGAAAAGUGCGGGGAUGAGGUGUGGGUAGCGGAGAAAUUCCAAUCGAACUUGGAGAUAGCUGGUUCUCUCCGAAAUAGCUUUAGGGCUAGCCUCGAGGUAAAGAGUCAUGGAGGUAGAGCACUGUUUGGACUAGGGGCCCUUCUCGGGUUACCGAAUUCAGAUAAACUCCGAAUGCCAUGUACUUAUACUCGGGAGUCAGACUGCGAGUGAUAAGAUCCGUAGUCGAAAGGGAAACAGCCCAGACCACCAGUUAAGGUCCCCAAAUAUAUGUUAAGUGGAAAAGGAUGUGGGGUUGCUUAGACAACCAGGAUGUUGGCUUAGAAGCAGCCACCAUUGAAAGAGUGCGUAAUAGCUCACUGGUCGAGUGACCCCGCGCCGAAAAUGUACCGGGGCUAAACAUAUUACCGAAACUGUGGAUGAACCUCUUUAGAGGUUCGUGGUAGGAGAGCGUUCUAAGGGCGGUGAAGUCAGACCGGAAGGACUGGUGGAGCGCUUAGAAGUGAGAAUGCCGGUAUGAGUAGCGAAAGAAGGGUGAGAAUCCCUUCCACCGAAUAUCUAAGGUUUCCUGAGGAAGGCUCGUCCGCUCAGGGUUAGUCGGGACCUAAGCCGAGGCCGAUAGGCGUAGGCGAUGGACAACAGGUAGAGAUUCCUGUACCAGUGCUAAUUGUUUAACCGAUGGGGUGACACAGAAGGAUAGGGAAUCGCACGAAUGGAAAUGUGCGUCCAAGCAGUGAGUGUGAGAAGUAGGCAAAUCCGCUUCUCGCGAAGCAUGAGCUGUGAUGGGGAAGGAAAUUAAGUACGGAAGUUCCUGAUUUCACGCUGUCAAGAAAAGCCUCUAGGAAGAGUAGUACUGCCCGUACCGCAAACCGACACAGGUAGAUGAGGAGAGAAUCCUAAGGUGAGCGAGAGAACUCUCGUUAAGGAACUCGGCAAAAUGACCCCGUAACUUCGGGAGAAGGGGUGCUCUAUUAGGGUGCAAGCCCGAGAGAGCCGCAGUGAAUAGGCCCAGGCGACUGUUUAGCAAAAACACAGGUCUCUGCAAAACCGUAAGGUGACGUAUAGGGGCUGACGCCUGCCCGGUGCUGGAAGGUUAAGAGGAGUGCUUAGCUUCGGCGAAGGUACGAAUUGAAGCCCCAGUAAACGGCGGCCGUAACUAUAACGGUCCUAAGGUAGCGAAAUUCCUUGUCGGGUAAGUUCCGACCCGCACGAAAGGCGCAACGAUCUGGGCACUGUCUCAACGAGAGACUCGGUGAAAUUAUAGUACCUGUGAAGAUGCAGGUUACCCGCGACAGGACGGAAAGACCCCGUGGAGCUUUACUGCAACCUGAUAUGGAAUGUUUGUACCGCUUGUACAGGAUAGGUAGGAGCCGAAGAGACGUGUGCGCUAGCAUACGAGGAGGCAAUGGUGGGAUACUACCCUGGCUGUAUGACCAUUCUAACCCGCCACGCUUAGCGCGUGGGGAGACAGUGUCAGGUGGGCAGUUUGACUGGGGCGGUCGCCUCCUAAAGAGUAACGGAGGCGCCCAAAGGUUCCCUCAGAAUGGAUGGAAAUCAUUCGCAGAGUGUAAAGGCACAAGGGAGCUUGACUGCGAGACUGACAAGUCGAGCAGGGACGAAAGUCGGGCUUAGUGAUCCGGUGGUUCCGCAUGGAAGGGCCAUCGCUCAACGGAUAAAAGCUACCCCGGGGAUAACAGGCUUAUCUCCCCCAAGAGUCCACAUCGACGGGGAGGUUUGGCACCUCGAUGUCGGCUCGUCGCAUCCUGGGGCUGUAGUCGGUCCCAAGGGUUGGGCUGUUCGCCCAUUAAAGCGGCACGCGAGCUGGGUUCAGAACGUCGUGAGACAGUUCGGUCCCUAUCCGUCGCGGGCGCAGGAAAUUUGAGAGGAGCUGUCCUUAGUACGAGAGGACCGGGAUGGACACACCGCUGGUGUACCAGUUGUUCCGCCAGGAGCAUCGCUGGGUAGCUAUGUGUGGCAGGGAUAAACGCUGAAAGCAUCUAAGCGUGAAGCCCCCCUCAAGAUGAGAUUUCCCAUUUCUUCGGAAAGUAAGAUCCCUGAAAGAUGAUCAGGUAGAUAGGUUUGGAGUGGAAGUGUAGCGAUACAUGGAGCGGACAAAUACUAAUCGAUCGAGGACUUAACCAAAA
rnacentral:rRNA from 1 species